CCUACGGGGGGCUGCAGUGAGGAAUAUUGGUCAAUGGACGAGAGUCUGAACCAGCCAAGUAGCGUGAAGGAUGACUGCCCUAUGGGUUGUAAACUUCUUUUAUAUGGGAAUAAAAUGUUCCACGUGUGGGAUUUUGUAUGUACCAUAUGAAUAAGGAUCGGCUAACUCCGUGCCAGCAGCCGCGGUAAUACGGAGGAUCCGAGCGUUAUCCGGAUUUAUUGGGUUUAAAGGGAGCGUAGGUGGAUUGUUAAGUCAGUUGUGAAAGUUUGCGGCUCAACCGUAAAAUUGCAGUUGAAACUGGCAGUCUUGAGUACAGUAGAGGUGGGCGGAAUUCGUGGUGUAGCGGUGAAAUGCUUAGAUAUCACGAAGAACUCCGAUUGCGAAGGCAGUUCACUGGACUGCAACUGACACUGAGGCUCGAAAGUGUGGAUAUCAAACAGGAUUAGAUACCCUUGUAGUC
rnacentral:rRNA from 1 species